AUCUAAUAAGAAGAGAUAGGUGCCCGCAAGGGCUUAAUAGGGAAGUUCGGUUGAAUGCCGGCGCGGUCCCGCCACUGUAUUGGUGAGUGACUUCAAGUUUAUGCCACUGGGAUGGAAAUCCUGGGAAGGUUUGAAGGAGCGAUGAUCCAGAGCCAGGAGAACUGCCUAUUUGACAAUCGCCGU
rnacentral:ncRNA from 2 species